UGGGGAAUUUUGGACAAUGGGCGAAAGCCUGAUCCAGCAAUGCCGCGUGUGUGAAGAAGGCCUUCGGGUUGUAAAGCACUUUUGUCCGGAAAGAAAAUCCUUGGCUCUAAUACAGUCGGGGGGAUGACGGUACCGGAAGAAUAAGCACCGGCUAACUACGUGCCAGCAGCCGCGGUAAUACGUAGGGUGCAAGCGUUAAUCGGAAUUACUGGGCGUAAAGCGUGCGCAGGCGGUUUGCUAAGACCGAUGUGAAAUCCCCGGGCUCAACCUGGGAACUGCAUUGGUGACUGGCAGGCUAGAGUAUGGCAGAGGGGGGUAGAAUUCCGCGUGUAGCAGUGAAAAUGCGUAGAGAUGUGGAGGAAUACCGAUGGCGAAGGCAGCCCCCUGGGCCAAAUACUGACGCUCAUGCACGAAAAGCGUGGGGAGCAAAACAGGAUUAGAUACCCUGGUAGUCCACGCCCUAAAACGAUGUCAACUAGUUGUGGGGAUUCAUUUCCUUAGUAACGUAGCU
rnacentral:rRNA from 1 species